UGAAUGAGUGAAUGAACAUACAUACAUACAUAUACACAUACUGUUUUUAAACAUGUUUAUUGGGUGUAUAAAUGGCCUUUUAAGGCACAGUUAACAAAUAUAUAUUGAGUUGAAAAACACGUGUUCUUGCAUGCAGGAUUCUACCUUCUGGAAUGCAUCUGAUAGUACUACUUGAAAAUGUGUGUAGAAAUGCCCACGCUAGCAUAUUGGUAGUGGACAUGUAAAUAACAGCAAAACACAACAAAGGAAAAAGAAAAGUACAUAUAUGUGAGCAAUCCUUUUGGUUAUCCUGGGUUUUUAAGAUAAUGUCCACUGAAGAAAAGCAAAUCAAAUGCAGAGCAACUGAGCAGGAAACCGGGGGAAAAAUACUCUCAGAGUCAUAAGAUUAUCUCAUUACACUUAAGUUUUGCUGAUGCUUCAAGCUUCCUGGGUAAGUUGUGCCAAAGCACCUUUCUCUGAAAAUUUUCUUGCUGCAGAACAAACCACGUUUAGUGUCCGCACCUGGGGGAUGGGAAAAAGGGCACGGUCCUUAUUUGUAUUUUGGAGUGAAAGAAGCAUUAAAGUUCUUGCAAAAUUUACCAAGGAUUCUCCUGGUCUAAUUUCAGAUCAAACUUCCAACUCCAGGUAGCCUCUGCGGCUUUUUUUAAAAAUGUAUAAUUAAGAUGUACUUUGAUUUGGACUCUGUUGCUAUUGGGCCUGUAUAUGCAGUUUCAAGAUAUCCCCAUACACCUGCCUGUAAUGUUCCUUCUGGAACAGAAUGGGCUUCUGAGUUGAGGAACUUGGGAAUAUACUGAGUUUCUCUGUUCAUGCCAGGGGAUGGCUGUGGACAAAAAGUAAAGGAGGAGACGCCGGAAUCCUGAUGUCCAAAGAUUCCAAAGUUCAAGGAUUAUUGUAACCCUUCAGAUAUCUCAUUUUUGCUUUGUUCCUUCUGUCAGUCUUAGUAAAGGGCCCUAAAGUCAGAAGUUGCUGGGGCUUUCUCGGCUUCAGCUUCAGCUUCGUAUUUAAGCCCAUGGGGCUGGGGACAGGGUUGCACACAGCACUUCACUGGGCACCUCCUGAUCCUGGCCAUGCGUCCUAAAAUCUGACAGUUCUUACACGUUCUCCGUGGGUUGAGGAGCAGGGAGGGCAGUGAGUCAGCAUCAAUCACAGGUGGCAUUCAGAGGUUCUUGUGAGGAUAUAUUUUUGGAUUUGGGUAUUGGUUUUUCAGGAUAGGAGACAGACAAGUGGCCCAUUAGGUGUCUGGAAAUUCAUAAUGCAAAGUCAUAUCCACAACUUAUUGUAAACAGAAACACAGAGAAAGAACCAAAGGAUGCAAGGUUGAUGAUGAUAAUCCAGCUGAGUAGAUCGUCUUAGAUUAUGGAUGCCAAGCAGACUCUACAGAACACAGUGGGGCUCCCAGGGUGAGGGAGAGUGAGGUAGAGGGAAAGUUUUCCUCUUCAGCUGGACUUUUUCCUGCCUGAGGAAUUCAGUUGAUUGCAUUAGCUUUACAUGUGAUCUAAUCAGUCCAAUGCAGUCACAUUCGAUCUAAUAAUCUCCCCCACUUUCAAGCUAGGAAAGGAUAUUUUGUUUGGUGUUUACUUUUUCUCUGCGUUAUCACCUUACCACAUAUGCGUCUAUCUAAUAUAAUGGACCAUAAUUUGAUAUUUGUCAUUUCCAAGCAUUUCAAAAAUUGUAACAUCUGUGUGUACAAUUUUAACACUAUAUAUUAUUUUCUUCAUGUGCAAAAUAUAUAUACAUAUGUCAAUAUGUUGUCUGUCUUAUUCUGCACCUUGAAAGCUGGGCAGGGUCUUAAAUACUUCUAGGUGGGAAUUGGGACACAUAUCAGAUAGGGAUAAGUUCCUUACGUUCCUGUUCCUGUGCCCCCAGCUUUGAAUUCUUGCUUAUUAACACGAUGAUGGGGCUUUGCAAAUCUCCCCUUAUCUUUGUCUAGGUCCCCAGGGCAUUGACGAUGGAAAAAUUUCUUAUUGAGGCCAUGAUGAGUGGCAGGAGGGAGAAAUCUCUUCAGCCAAUAGGAGCGAGUCAUGCCCAGCUUAAGGGGUUAGAAAAGCCAGGUUCACAGGAACAACCUGGACCUCAUUCUGGGCAUGUGUUGUGUGAGAGAGCACCUUUCACUGGAGCUUCACCAUGGGAUGGGGAACUGAAGACCAGACUGCCACUGCCCCUCCAUCCAAUGCCCCAUUGACCCACCUUCUUUCCACCAGAUCUCCUUUACACAAAGUGACUUGGAUAAGGAGAAGAGACCAUUAGAAGAAAAGACGCUCUCUUCUCAUUUAAGUAAGGGCCACGCCCAGGCAAGAAUCAGGGUCCAGCUCAGAUGUGGGAAUUCCAGGAAGAGAGAAAUUCAUUCCAUGGACAGCUGCCAAGAUAGAGCAGCUAGGAUCUUGCUUUUUUGUUGCAAAGGUCAGAUGAGAAGGUAAUUUAUACAGAGCUUGAGCAGUAAAGGGGUGUCUCAGUGGCUGUGAGGAUUUUAGAGAUCCUGACAUCCAGAGAGCAUUUGACCCAGGAGGGGCUUAGCCUCACUUCCUUAGGGAGGCAGAGGGGGCCGGGAAGGAGGAGAGAUUAAUGGGGCUCACCUGAAGGUGCAUGGGGACCUUCUGGGAAUAAGCAUCCAUGGGAGCCGUUCUGGUAAGUCACUCACAUGCUUCCUCUUCAGGACACCAUCAAGGACAUGAGCCAAAAUUGUGAAAGGAUUGCUUGAUUCUGGAAAAGGAACCAAAGGCCUCUGACCCUGUACACAUCAGUGAAAUGAGGAGACCCAUGAGGCCUGCUGUGGCUCACCCCCAGAGGCCCACACUGGGCAGAGCAAGUGGUCCAGAUCUUAAUCUCUAGGAGACCACCCACUGCCACUUCGGAAACGCAUGGUGACCUCUCUGCACACUCCGUCUGAAGCCAUUUAUCACAAAACAGCAGGUGUGGGACCAGCAGGUCUAUUCUUUGCUGAUCUGGGAACAGCUGUCUGAGCUCACCUGGCUCCAGAGACUUCUGUGCUGUUGUACAGACCUGUGCUGUGGCCACCCAGGUGGCCUCUGUCUUUCUCGCUGAAGGCUGGCUCAUCCCAGCCUCGCUGCCUGUUCCCUAGGAUCCAGCCCUGGAUGGAGAAGCUCAGAGCUCCUAGGAAGAAAAUGGGCCCACCCCUUCCUUGGACAGAAGAUAAAGGAGCCUGUUGGUGGAUCAAAUGAGGCUUUAGCUGGGGGCACCCAGACCCUAUUCAACAGAGGACACAGCUGUAAAGUGAGAACAAAGACCUGCUAUUUCUCAGGCAAUUUUAGACACACUGUGUUAAUACAGUACGUGACACAACGAGGGGCAGUCUUGGGAAAGGAGUUUGAACAGUAUCCUCUAAGUGGAAACUGUUUCAUUUAGGUCUAAAACUACUCACAAAUUUUGUAUUUCAUGAUAGACAUUUGAUAUUUUUGGAUGUUUUAUGACAUUCACGCAUUUCUUUGUAAUCAGAAAAUAUUAGGGUAUAAUCAUUCAUAUGUGUUUGUGUAUUACAAAGUACAGCAAAAUGAAUGUAUAUGUAGAUCCUCCCACUUUAAGUCAGAAAAGUCUAUAGCUCUUUACUCUCCCAUUCUGAGUCAAUAAAGCACUGAUAUCUACUAAAUUUUAACAGCAUUGUCUCUGGAGAAAUGUUGGUAUUUUUCAAUUUGAUGAAACAAUAAAAUCGCCAUGCCAUUUUCUUUGCUCUAAAACUGUCGGAAUGUAUUAAGUGCUUAUUGAUUAUAUUUCUUUCUUCUUCAACCUGGAUUAUAUUAUUUGCCUAAUUUUAAUCUUCCAUUUUAUAGGUUUCAAUUGAGCUUAUUUUUUAAAAAAUAGAUUUAUUAAAGUAGCAUUAACUUUCAAUAAGCUGCACAUA